rnacentral:rRNA from 1 species
UACGUAGGGUGCAAGCGUUGUCCGGAAUUAUUGGGCGUAAAGAGCUCGUAGGCGGUCUGUCGCGUCUGCUGUGAAAACUCGGGGCUUAACCCCGGGCCUGCAGUGGGUACGGGCAGACUAGAGUGCGGUAGGGGAGACUGGAAUUCCUGGUGUAGCGGUGAAAUGCGCAGAUAUCAGGAGGAACACCGAUGGCGAAGGCAGCUUGCUGGGACGGUACUGACGCUGAGACGCGAAAGCGUGGGGAGCAAACAGG